UAGGAAGGAAACAAUAGUAAAGCAUAUUUCAAAUUUCUAAUUCAAGUUUAAAAAUUUUCAUUACAAGUGAAAAUUUCAAUAUGUAAAAUUUUAAAACAGAAAAGACUGAAAAAUCAAAGUUAAAGGAAGACUUCUUUGUCUUUGAGUACUUUGAACAUGUGGUUUUCUAUGCUACUAAACCUCUUAGGAGCAAAAAUUCCUUCAUAUACGGGUUGUCUAAAAGAUAAUUAAAUAAUUUUGUGAAAUAAACAAACUUAGAGCCUUACUCAGAUUUUAUAAAGAGGUUCGUUUUCAUUCAUGUUG
rnacentral:lncRNA from 1 species